AUUGAACGCUGGCGGCAGGCCUAACACAUGCAAGUCGAGCGGAAGAACGGUGCUUGCUUCCGGUUUCAGCGGGGGACGGGUGAGUAAUGCCUAGGAAUAUGCCUGGCUGCGUGUGAGAAGGUCAGGAAACGGGCGCUAAUACCGCAAAAGCGCUGAGGGAGUAAGGGGGAGAUCAUCGGAUCUUACGCUCUCAGACGAGUCUAGGACGGAUUAGCUAGUUGGUGGGGUAAAGGGCUACCAAGGCGACGAUCCGUAACUGGUCUGAGAGGAUGAGCAGUCACACUGGAACUGAGACACGGUCCAGACUCCUACGGGAGGCAGCAGUGGGGAAUAUUGGACAAUGGGCGAAAGCCUGAUCCAGCCAUGCCGCGUGGGUGAAGAAGGUCUUCGGGUUGUAAAGCACUUUUGGUGGGGAAGAAGAGCAGUAGGUUAAUACCUUGCUGUUUUGACGUUACCAACAGAAUAAGCACCGGCUAACUUCGUG
rnacentral:rRNA from 1 species